rnacentral:rRNA from 1 species
AAGCAGUGGGAGCCCCACCACUAAGCCAGUGGUGAACUCCACAUACGCAUCCUUUGCUGAGGAUACGGUUAACGGAGCGAAAGCGACGUUCAACCGCAAAAGAAGCAGAGGGGGCUUAGUGGUGGGGUGACUGCGUACCUUUUGUAUAAUGGGUCAGCGACUUAUAUUCUGUAGCAAGGUUAACCGAAUAGGGGAGCCGGAGGGAAACCGAGUCUUAACCGGGCGUUAAGUUGCAGGGUAUAGACCCGAAACCCGGUGAUCUAGCCAUGGGCAGGUUGAAGGUUGGGUAACACUAACUGGAGGACCGAACCGACUAAUGUUGAAAAAUUAGCGGAUGACCUGUGGCUGGGGGUGAAAGGCCAAUCAAACCGGGAGAUAGCUGGUUCUCCCCGAAAGCUAUUUAGGUAGCGCCUCGUGAAUUCAUCUCCGGGGGUAGAGCACUGUUUCGGCUAGGGGGCCAUCCCGGCUUACCAACCCGAUGCAAACUGCGAAUACCGGAGAAUGUUAUCACGGGAGACACACGGCGGGUGCUAACGUCCGUCGUGAAGAGGGAAACAACCCAGACCGCCAGCUAAGGUCCCAAAGUCAUGGUUAAGUGGGAAACGAUGUGGGAAGGCCCAGACAGCCAGGAUGUUGGCUUAGAAGCAGCCAUCAUUUAAAGAAAGCGUAAUAGCUCACUGGUCGAGUCGGCCUGCGCGGAAGAUGUAACGGGGCUAAACCAU